CAAGACACAGCUCCAAGUUCAACAAUUCAUGAAAUUUUGAAAAUACCAACAUACACAGGCGAAAGUUGCACUGCCGAGAACACAGGCCAAACGUUCUUGACCUCUGACAACAGUUAUCUUAUCGUAUGCGGUGGUAAUUCAAACUUGAAAUUUAUAAAGCUCACAAGUACAGCAGGAAGUAGCUGUAAAGAGCUGUAUGACAUUGGUUUACAAGGAAGCGAGCAUUCUAAGUCUUACCUACUAUUCGAAAGUACGGGGAAAACAACUUUCAAGACAUAUUGUGAUAUGACUUCAGG